rnacentral:rRNA from 1 species
UAACGGAAGUAGCUUGCUACUAGACGACGACCGGCGCACGGGUGAGUAACGCGUAUGUAAUCUGCCUUGUACAGAGGGAUAGCCCAGAGAAAUUUGGAUUAAUACCUCAUAGUAUUACUGAAUCGCAUGAUUUGGUAAUUAAAGCUCCGGCGGUACAAGAUGAACAUGCGUGACAUUAGCUAGUUGGUAAGGUAACGGCUUACCAAGGCCACGAUGUCUAGGGGUUCUGAGAGGAUGAUCCCCCACACUGGUACUGAGACACGGACCAGACUCCUACGGGAGGCGGCAGUGAGGAAUAUUGGUCAAUGGACGCAAGUCUGAACCAGCCAUCCCGCGUGAAGGAUGACUGCCCUAUGGGUNGUAAACUUCUUUUAUAUGCAAAUAAACCUACUUUCGUGAAAGUAGCUGAAGGUAGCAUAUGAAUAAACACCGGCUAACUCCGUGCCAGCAGCCGCGGUAAAUACGGAGGGUGUAAGCGUUAUCCGGAUUUAUUGGGUUUAAAGGGUACGUAGGCGGUAAUAUAAGUCAGUGGUGAAAUCCUGCAGCUCAACUGUAAAACUGCCAUUGAAACUGUAUUAC